AUGCUCCAAAAUAACCCCCCCCCCUUGUUCCUCCUCCUCCUCCUCUUCCUCCCCGCGUGCAGCCUCCGCGCCCCUCGGCCUCCCCGGGCACGGUGCAGGGGGUGCCCCCGGCCGUUCCCCCGGCGGGACCCCGGGGAAGGAAGCGCUGCCGGGGCUCUGCUCCCACGCUCGGGGUUGGGGUUGGCACCCAGAGCCCCUCGUCCUUGCACAGACACGUCGGAGCCGCCGGGGCACAUCGGGCUUCCCAGGCGCUGCUUCAGAUCCGCCUGCGAUUUUGGGGCCAAGUCGGAUGUUUCCCAGCCCCGGCAGGCUGGCGGGGGGAUGCCGGGUUCCUUACAGAGGAGAAACCCCAGCGGCUAUUUCGGGCAGCUUCUGGUUUCGCCCCCCGCUGUGCCCUUGGCUGCCUGCCGCUCCCGAUGGGCUGCAGCCAGGGGCUGCCGGGGCCGCCAGGAUGGAGCAGGGCUGAGCGGUGCUGGGGGCGUGCAGGGAGCUGCCGAGGCCCCCUGCCUGCUCCCGUUCCCCCCCCGUCACCCCAGUGCUGAGCCAAAAGAGCCCCAAACCCGCCCGUCCUCGGGCACGUGGGGAGCGCCGCGUUGCGAGGAUGGCAAAGGUCCUUGCUCCUGGGGGGUUUCUGGUUAUAAAACCUGGAAAAUCCUCAAGGGCCCUUUUAUGAGGGAUAAUUACUUCCCCUUUUUUGCUGCUGCCAAAUUGCCGGGUUCGUGCUCUCCUGGUGCACGCACGCAACCCUGGCACGGGCACCGCGGGAAGGAGCCGCCGGGCAGGGGGAGCCUCGCGGAGCCCGGUGGCAGUGCCACCCUCCCUCUGCACGGCCCAGAGCUGCUGGGGACAGGGACGGGGGACACGGCCGAGCACUCCGCAGUGCCCCUCAGCCGAUCCUGGCACACAGUGGGCUGGGACCCGACCACCCAGCGCCGUGCAGCAGCCGGGCACGGCGGCACUGGGGCUCGGGGCUCGUCCCCGCAGCGUCCCCCGUGCCAGGCUCCCAGCCAGCUGCAAGGAGAGACCUGCGCCGCGGUUCCUGAUCCCGCUGCCAAGAAAUGA
rnacentral:lncRNA from 1 species